rnacentral:rRNA from 1 species
AUUGAACGCUGGCGGCAGGCCUAACACAUGCAAGUCGAACGAGUGGCGGACGGGUGAGUAAUGUCUGGGAACCUGCCCGAUGGAGGGGGAUAACUACUGGAACCGGUAGCUAAUACCGCAUACCAUCGGAUGUGCCUAGAUGGGAUUAGCUAGGAGGGGGGGUAAUGGCUCACCUAGGCGACGAUCCCUAGCUGGUCUGAGAGGAUGACCGGCCACACUGGAACUGAGACACGGGCCAGACUCCUACGGGAGGCAGCAGUGGGGAAUAUUGCACAAUGGGGGCAAGCCUGAUGCAGCCCUGCCGCGUGUAUGAAGAAGGCCUUCGGGUUGUAAAGUACUUUCAUCGAGGAGGCGUUACUCACAGAGGAAGCACCGGCUAACUACGUGCCAGCAGCCGCGGUAAUUC